UUGCUCACUUCAGCAGCACAUCUAAAAUUGGAAUAAUAUAGAAAAGAUUAGCAUCGUCCCUGCAUAGUAAUGACAUUGCAAAUUUAUAAAGUAGUCCAUAUUUUU
rnacentral:snRNA from 1 species